GCUAUUAGUUAAUUCCACUUGCUGGUAGCCUCAUCCAACUGAAAGAUCUUCUUGUGAGUCUCAUUCUUGGUCCUUCCUCAGACGGUAGAUUUGUUGCUGUUACAGAAAUUGAAAUUGUGUCUUCUACCUGUGAAAUUGCAGUAUAAUUUUCAGCAAAUGAAUCUCUCGUCGCUAUAACCAAAAUGUUUGAAAGGGGUAAAUCUUCAGAUAAGGUGCCAUUUGGGG
rnacentral:misc_RNA from 1 species